rnacentral:rRNA from 1 species
UACGAAGGGGGCUAGCGUUGCUCGGAAUCACUGGGCGUAAAGCGCACGUAGGCGGCCUGAUCAGUCGGGGGUGAAAGCCUGUGGCUCAACCACAGAAUGGCCUUCGAUACUGUCGGGCUUGAGUCCGGAAGAGGUAAGUGGAACUGCGAGUGUAGAGGUGAAAUUCGUAGAUAUUCGCAAGAACACCAGUGGCGAAGGCGGCUUACUGGCCCGGAUCUGACGCUGAGGCGCGAAAGCGUGGGGAGCAAACAGG